CAACCCUCAAGCCCCCGCGCUUGGUGUUGGGGUGCCGGCGUCAAGCGCUGCCCGCAGCGCCCGCCGCCCCCGAAAUCGAUUGGCGGUCUCGUCGCAGCCUCCCUUGCGUAGUAACAUACCACCUCGCAUGGCGGAGCGCGACGCGGCCACGCCGUAAAACGCCCCAAUUUCUCAAG
rnacentral:misc_RNA from 2 species